rnacentral:RNase_P_RNA from 1 species
AAAGCAGACCGGACGGUCGCCUCAGGCGGUUUCAGCCGUGUGGGGAGGAAAGUCCGAACUCCACAGAACAGGACGGUCGCUAACAGCGACUUCGAGUGAUCGGAGGAAAGUGCCACAGAAAACAGACUGUCUCGAUCUAUCGUGACGAGGGUGAAAAGGUGGGGUAAGAGCCCACCGCCCCGGUGGUGACAUUCGGGGGCACGGUAAACCCCGUCCGGAGCAAGACCAAAUAGAUUCCGCGUUUUGAGGCUGUCAAAAACUUGCAUAUAUUUCUCGAUAAUUUGAUUGUGCAUCAACAGAACAAUUAUGUUUGUGCUCAUAUUUUCAUCGUGAGUUUUGCACUUUUUUUGACAGCCUCAAAAGAAGGGUUGUUCGCCCAACUUGCUUCGGCAUAACGGAACGGGUAGGUUGCAUGACCCUGUCAGCAAUGGCAGGGCUAGAUAAAUGACCGUCAUCCUGUUCCCUGGGAUCAGGAAUACAGAAUUCGGCUUACAGGUUUGCUUUGGAU